GACGAACGCUGGCGGCGUGCUUAACACAUGCAAGUCGAGCGGUAAGGCCCUUUCGGGGGUACACGAGCGGCGAACGGGUGAGUAACACGUGGGUGACCUGCCUUUAGCUCUGGGAUAAGCCUGGGAAACUGGGUCUAAUACCGGAUAUGACUCCGCGGUGCAUGCUGUGGGGUGGAAAGCCUUGUGCGGCUGGAGAUGGGCCCGCGGCCUAUCAGCUUGUUGGUGGGGUGAUGGCCUACCAAGGCGACGACGGGUAGCCGGCCUGAGAGGGCGACCGGCCACACUGGGACUGAGACACGGCCCAGACUCCUACGGGAGGCAGCAGUGGGGAAUCUUGCGCAAUGGGCGAAAGCCUGACGCAGCGACGCCGCGUGAGGGAUGACGGCCUGGUGUAACU
rnacentral:rRNA from 1 species